CACGUAGGCGGUUGAGUAAGUCUAUCGUUUAAUCCCUCGGCUUAACUGAGGUUCUGCGGUAGAUACUGCUCAACUUGAGUACGGGAGAGGAGAGCGGAAUUCCAUGUGUAGCGGUGAAAUGCGCAGAUAUAUGGAGGAACACCCGUGGCGAAGGCGGCUCUCUGGACCGCUACUGACGCUGAGGUGCGAAAGCGUGGGGAGCAAACG
rnacentral:rRNA from 1 species